AUUGCUGUGCCAAAGAGAAUUGUGAAAGCGCAAAGCACAGGAAAACUAGAAUAGGAAUUUUGUGACAAGAAUUCCAUGCAAUUUUUCACAUACCAGCAGAGAAAAUUAGAUUUCUAAACAGUGGGUGAACGCCUGCUUGCCAGGAUAACAGCCACUGCCUGCACAGAAACCACCCCUCAGAGCCUAUGGGAUGUUCACAACAAGCAGCAGCUGAACACAAGCAGCAGCGCAAAGAGAAUGGUGACAUCCUAGGCUCUCUCUCACCCUUCUAUGAAUCACAUCAGAGGUCACUGGAGCAUACCAGGACUGGGAACAGAAGUCAAUUAAGGGUUACUCCAAAAGUGUGGUGAAUUUUACCGACCCAGACAUUUCCAGCUACCUGUCUACUCUUGGAUUCAAGGAAAAUAAGAAAAAAAUAAGGACAAGGGGUGAGCUCACUCUCUUGGUCAGGCAUGUAAAUCCACAUCUUAGACAGUCUGCUGAUCAAGAUCCAGAGUUCCCAGAAGUUCAAGGAUGUCUCGGGGCCUCUGAAAAUCAGCUCCUACAGGACCCAGUAACACCUGGAGUGGUGAGGAAAGGAACCCUGACACUUUUUGUGCCUGCACCAAAGUCCCUGCAGCACUGGCAGAACACCGAAUUUAUCUGCUUUAGAUUGAGCUGAUUAGAGCAACAUCUGGAAAGUUUUGUAUGCUGCCCCAGUGGUUUCCUGAAAACCCAAGAGGAGAAGUGCAUGAAGGAUAGGAAGUGUUGUGCAAAAUGUCAAGGCUGUUUCAAUGGUUGCCCUGCAGACAAUGACAGUCUGUCAUACAGGUUGCCCCAGAAGCUGUGGAUCCCAUCUCUGGAAGUGCCCAAGGCCAAGACUGGGAUUUUGGGAGACCUGCUUCAGGGGAAGAUGUCCCUGUCCACUGCAAGGGAAUUGAAACUGGCACUGAAAUAUUUGGGUGAAACAGGAUGCGACUCCCAUGCUCGAAUGCCACACUUCUGUUUUGGGAGAACAACUCUAUUGAACCUACAGGUGACAGGAGACACAAUGGCAUCAGACAUUUUUGUGUGGUAGAGUACCUGUGCCUCCAAGCCUUCAGAGAAACUCAUAUUAAAGCUGCCUGUUUUCAGUCUCUCUCCAGAAGUUAUUAUCAGUGCAAGGCUCUUCAGGACGUUAAUUAUCAGCAAGAAGAAAGAUGAAUAGAAUUGAGCCACUUGAGGCUUUAAACACAACCUCCACACAGUGGUUCUGGGGAGCAGGAAAGCUCCUGCUGCACACAGAGCUGCUGUGAGCAGACCCAGGCAUCCUGCAGAACAAGCAGUGUGAAUUCUGCCAGCAGCACUUCACAGGUACAGAUGCUCCCAAACACACCAUUAAUGUCUAUCCUCUGGAAAACAAGCCUGGAUUAGGAGAGUUCUGCACUUCUCCCUUCAUCCAUCGCUACAUGCACAUAACAAAAAUGCUGGUGUCAGGUCAGGGGGCAUGAGGGCAACUUCUGGCUAUUUUCAUCUUACUAUGUACUGUAAAUAAGAAUUGCAACUGCUCAGCUGUGCAAGGCCCAUAUCCAUCUCAGCAAAGCCCUUGAGGCUUUUGUGGUAUGCUUUGGGAGUUUUUGUUGUAUUUUUUUAAAAUGAAACAAUGACCCUAAUGUCUAGUUUUCCUCUUCAAGGAAAAUUUUUCAAUGUAAAUAGUGUAUUUUUCCCUUGUUGUUAGUUAUAUGUACACAGACACACACAUACACCAGUGAAUUUAUUUGUAUGGCAAAUUAUAACCAAUUUGUCUCUGAAAUGCUCUUUUGAAACAUAGCAGGAAAAAGCCACUGAUUCAAUAGAGAAUAUUGACUUUUUGCCUACUGCCCUGGAUAUCUGCCCGAACAAAGAGCUGGUUAGACAAAAUACAAAGAACCCUUUUGUGUAGGGCUAAGUUCACCUGGGAGAAGUAUUAAUGAAGUCCCAAGGGGGUGGGGACUCAAACUCCCCUGCUUUCAAUGGUUAAGGAAGACAGGGGUGAGGAAGGCUGGGUAUUUGGUGUUCUGAGCCUUUCUCUUUAAACCACGAGAAGGAGUGCCAAUGUAAUUGAGAAUUAGGGACCUUUCUGCUAUUAGUCUGUAGGGUCUGUGAAGAAAGCAGGUAGAAUUUCAGAUGGCACACCAGCUGCUGCAUGGCAGCAGAAUCUAAAUCAAAGAUUAAAAGUAGGUCAAUACUAGAGGACUGUUAACUCUCACUGAAAGACCUUCAAAAAAGUCAAUACCAUAAGCAAUAAUUACAUGUGAUAGCUGUACAAAUGUCUGAACUUGAAAUAUGGUUGUUCAGUGUGUAUUAAGCCAUUUAUUCAAUUUCAUUUCUACUGCAUAAGACAAGAAACAAAACCAUUGUUCUGCCAGGAGAUUUAUGUCCACUCUAGUGAAAUACUGUCCCUGGUAUUACUGUGGAAAUUAUAACACUCCUAACUGAUAAUUAUUCACCAGCUGUGCUGAGGAGCACUCUUCUCUCACAUCAUAUAUUUGUAUUUGUAAACUGUAUGUAGUUUGCAGCCUAAAGUUGGAAUAGUGAAAUAUCUUUAUUUGGUCCUGUUCAUUUUAAUUUUCCUUUAGCUCCCUGCCAAGCCAAUUGCCUUAACUGUUACACCAUGACAAACUCCUGACUUGAAUUGUGCAUUACAGAACCUAUACCUGAUUUCAGCAUUUCUCACACAUUGGAAAAUAAGACAGCAGAUUGCACCCUCUCAAAAGAGCUCAAAAGGGUGGAAAUGCAUGAGCAAGGGGAAUUUGACACUACCCAAAUGGCACUUCCAGGACUUCUGCCUGGGCAGAGCAGAUAGCUUCAGGAGCAGAAGAACAGCACAGAGAAAAAACAUCACUCAGGGGAUGGGACCUGUCUGUCCACAGCCUUGGUGAGAUGUUCAGCUGCUUCCCUACCCACAGGAUGGAACAAUCACUUUAAAAGAGAAGCAAAGGUCUACCCCUCCACACACACCAUUGGCACCAUAAUUGCAGGAGAGGAGAGCUCAAGCAGGCAGGAUAAUAA